rnacentral:rRNA from 1 species
GACGAACGCUGGCGGCGUGCUUAACACAUGCAAGUCGAACGGAAAGGCCUCUUUCGGGGGGUACUCGAGUGGCGAACGGGUGAGUAACACGUGAGUAACCUGCCCUUGACUUUGGGAUAACUUCAGGAAACUGGGGCUAAUACCGGAUAGGAACUCCUGCUGCAUGGUGGGGGUUGGAAAGUUUCGGCGGUUGGGGAUGGACUCGCGGCUUAUCAGCUUGUUGGUGGGGUAGUGGCUUACCAAGGCUUUGACGGGUAGCCGGCCUGAGAGGGUGACCGGCCACAUUGGGACUGAGAUACGGCCCAGACUCCUACGGGAGGCAGCAGUGGGGAAUAUUGCACAAUGGGUGGAAGCCUGAUGCAGCAACGCCGUGUGCGGGAUGACGGCCUUCGGGUUGUAAACCGCUUUCGCUCAUGACGAAGCUUUGUGUGACGGUAGUGGGUAAAGAAGCACCGGCUAACUACGUG